GAGGAUGUGGCUCAAGUGGUAGCGCACUUGCCUGGCAUGCAUGUGGCCUGGGUUCAAUCCUCAGCACCACA
rnacentral:tRNA from 1 species